rnacentral:rRNA from 1 species
AGUGAACGCUGGCGGUAGGCCUAACACAUGCAAGUCGAACGGCAGCACAGUAAGAGCUUGCUCUUACGGGUGGCGAGUGGCGGACGGGUGAGGAAUACAUCGGAAUCUACUUUUUCGUGGGGGAUAACGUAGGGAAACUUACGCUAAUACCGCAUACGACCUACGGGUGAAAGCAGGGGAUCUUCGCACCUUGCGCGAUUGAAUGAGCCGAUGUCGGAUUAGCUAGUUGGCGGGGUAAAGGCCCACCAAGGCGACGAUCCGUAGCUGGUCUGAGAGGAUGAUCAGCCACACUGGAACUGAGACACGGUCCAGACUCCUACGGGAGGCAGCAGUGGGGAAUAUUGGACAAUGGGCGCAAGCCUGAUCCAGCCAUACUGCGUGGGUGAAGAAGGCCUUCGGGUUGUAAAGCCCUUUUGUUGGGAAAGAAAAGCAGCAGGUUAAUACCCCGCUGUUCUGACGGUACCCAAAGAAUAAGCACCGGCUAACUUCGUG